rnacentral:rRNA from 1 species
GAUGUAUCCUUCGUAGGUGACCUGCGGAGGAUCAUUA